UGCUCCAUCUUGGGCAAAUUUGGGGUCACCUUUUUGAAAAGCUUCUAUAUUUGCAGUUAAAAUUGCAUCAUGAUCAUCUGCACAAUUACUAAUGGGUUUCUUCAGCCCAGAUCUCCUCUGAAUCAGCUGGUUAAUGAAGUGCAGUGACACGGUUGCUUUCUGCUCCUGUAAUUGAAGCUUCAGCUGAUUCUCUAGAGCUCCCUUUUCUUCCUCGCCAUUGUUGUGAGUCCUCCUUCGCGAUCAAAUGUCGUUGAGAAUGAUAAAAGCUCGCCAGAUAAUCAAGGACUUCGCAGUAGGAUAGGCGGUGGGUCUCUCGUUGAUAGAUGAAUAGCAGAGGAGAUGAGCAGCAGAGAGAUUGCAGAUAAACAAAAGCCAGUGAGUUAUGAUUUGGG
rnacentral:misc_RNA from 1 species